rnacentral:tRNA from 1 species
GCGGGCGUGGCGAAAUUGGUAGACGCGCAGGAUUUAGGUUCCUGUGACGCAAGUCGUGUGGGUUCAAAUCCCUCCGCCCGCACCA